rnacentral:rRNA from 1 species
GGUCGAAAGACGGACUUAGUGAUCCGGUGGUUCCGCAUGGAAGGGCCAUCGCUCAACGGAUAAAAGCUACCCCGGGGAUAACAGGCUUAUCUCCCCCAAGAGUUCACAUCGACGGGGAGGUUUGGCACCUCGAUGUCGGCUCAUCGCAUCCUGGGGCUGUAGUCGGUCCCAAGGGUUGGGCUGUUCGCCCAUUAAAGCGGUACGCGAGCUGGGUUCAGAACGUCGUGAGACAGUUCGGUCCCUAUCCGUCGUGGGCGUAGGAAAUUUGAGAGGAGCUGUCCUUAGUACGAGAGGACCGGGAUGGACAUACCUCUGGUGUACCAGUUGUCGUGCCAACGGCAUAGCUGGGUAGCUAUGUGUGGACGGGAUAAGUGCUGAAAGCAUCUAAGCAUGAAGCCCCCCUCAAGAUGAGAUUUCCCAACUUCGGUUAUAAGAUCCCUCAAAGAUGAUGAGGUUAAUAGGUUCGAGGUGGAAGCAUGGUGACAUGUGGAGCUGACGAAUACUAA